AUACCUUCUCGGCCUUUUGGCUAAGAUCAAGUGUAGUAUCUGUUCUUAUCAGUGUGAAAACUGGUAUCCACCCUACUGGGUGGCGUUUUUCACAUCAAUUUUUUAUUGGGAGCGAGGCAUCCCCAGCUUGCUGGGACCUUGCAACGGGUUGCCCUUGUAUUGCACUUACCUCAAGGAGCGGCCCACCCCAU